rnacentral:rRNA from 1 species
GAGACAGCAGUAGCCGCGGUAAUACGUAGGGUGCGAGCGUUAAUCGGAAUUACUGGGCGUAAAGCGUGCGCAGGCGGUUUUGUAAGACAGGCGUGAAAUCCCCGGGCUCAACCUGGGAAUGGCGCUUAUGACUGCAAAGCUAGAGUGCGGCAGAGGGGGAUGGAAUUCCGCGUGUAGCAGUGAAAUGCGUAGAUAUGCGGAGGAACACCGAUGGCGAAGGCAAUCCCCUGGGCCUGCACUGACGCUCAUGCACGAAAGCGUGGGGAGCAAACAGGAUUAGAUACCCCAGUAGUCCCUGUCUCUUAUAC